CUUCCGAUCUAAAAAAAGAAAACAUGUUGAUUAUAGAAAAAUUAGGAGGAAUCUAGAAUUAGAGUCUUAUGGGGAAGGACACUAUUGCUGAUUUACUAACCUCUAUAAGAAAUGCGGACAUGAAUAAAAAAGGAACAGUUCAAGUA